GCCCAAACCGGUCCCCGGUCUCUCGGCGCCGCGGAAACUUGAUGCAACUAAUGGAGAAACGCUGGAGCCCGAGCUAGCACUGUACCGCUCAACGCCAGCUUAAAAAGUACAACAUGAGCGUCUCAGCCCCGGAGCCUUGAGAAAGCUGACUCUGACCAACCCCCUUCUCCCUCUCUGAUCGGCCUGUGCUGGAGGUUGUCAGCCGAGUUUUAUGUCCAGUUCGCUGGAGCUGAAAGAAGUCAGCAUCAUGUCUUUUUAUGAAACAAGACGUCCUUGCCUCCCGUUCCGGGUGAGCGAUGCCUGGGGUGACUUGCGCGGAGUGAUGGCCUCGCCAUAGCGCUCCACAGAGGCAACCAACAGCGAGGAAGUCAAUGCGCCAUUGUGUAUCGAGUUCGUCAGCUACAUGUUUGGUAAUUAUCCCGACUGUUUGUCGGAGACUUGGAUCUGCGAGCCAAGCGGGCCGACAGUGGAGCACAACACCGUCAACAAAGAUUAACUUCUUCAUGAAUGGUCAACAUGUCUAGUUGAGGGAGACAAGCUCAAGACACCAUCGACUAGUGUUACUGAUCAGUUCAAAUAUGUUUUUUAAUAGUAAAACAGUUAACACAGUCCACAGUUUUUUGCCAGUGUGAAUAAAAACAUCACACAGGA